rnacentral:siRNA from 1 species
CUUCCAAGGUGAUUAUGUUAGG